UACGUAGGGGGCGAGCGUUGUCCGGAUUAUUGGGCGUAAAGAGCGUGUAGGCGGUUCGGUAAGUCUGUCGUGAAAUCUUGAGGCUCAACCUCGGGCGUGCGAUGGAUACUGCCGGGCUAGAGGAUGGUAGAGGCGAGUGGAAUUCCCGGUGUGGCGGUGAAAUGCGCAGAUAUCGGGAGGAACACCAGUAGCGAAGGCGGCUCGCUGGGCCAUUCCUGACGCUGAGACGCGAAAGCUAGGGGAGCGAACAGG
rnacentral:rRNA from 1 species